rnacentral:lncRNA from 10 species
AAUCUAGAAGUGGAAUUGCUGAGCUGUAGAGUAUGUGAAUCUCUACAACUUUCAACUUUACCAUGUAUUGUCAAAUUGCUCUCCAAAGUGAUGGUACCAAUUAAUGAUACUACCAAUAAGGAUCUCAACAGGACAAACACAAAGAAAAUAUCAAGGUGCAUCAUAGACAAAUUAUUGAAAAUCAGCAAUAAGGAGAAAACCUUAAAAACAGCAAGAUAAAAAGAUGCAUUAUGUGUAAAAUUAAAAAAGAAAACAAUGAUUGCUGAAUUCUUAUCAUACCAAUGCACAAAAGACAACAGAACAAUAUCUUUAAUGUGUGAAAAGUAAAAAAAAAAAUGUCAAACUAAGUUUUACAUUCAGGAAAAAUAUUCUUUGAAAAUAGAAGACAAUGAGAUUUCUGAUUUGUGGUUAUCACUCCCAUUCUCAUAAUAAGAAAAAAUCUGAAAAAACUGGAAAUCCACAACUCUUCUUAAAAUUGAGGUAACAGGGCAAGCCACUACCUUGAAUAUUAGAGACAGGAAGAUACAAAGAAUUCAGCUUAAAGAAAGAAGGAAGCCUUGGAGGAGAAGCCUGGUGCUGGAGCCUGUACCACUUUCCACAACAUCAACUGUGCUACUGUAUAAUAACAGGGCAUUAUAGCCAAAGAACUGUAAGCCUCAGACCCUAUUUAAGGAAGAGUCUCCAGGGAAAUCUAAAAAUAACAGGGAAGACUAAAACAAGGACACCCAGAGAAAAUGCUAGCCUUUGAUAUGUACAGCUAUAGCAACUGGCAAACACAAUGUAACUCCUAGCCAGAUCAACAUUGAACCUCACACAAAAGGUCUAUUUACUUCAUUUCCUUCUAAUUGAUACAUCCUCUCAGGCUGUCAGCAAAAAACUAGAAGACGUGAAAAUGCAAAAACUCUGUCUGAAGAGAGAAAGCAUGCCUUAGACUCAGACUGGCAGAAAUUUUGAGUGAUCAAACCAGAUAUUUAAAAUAACUAUGAUUAAAAUGCUAGCAGAAUGGAAAAAGUAAACAACAUGCACAAAUGGAAGGCAAAACAAAGACAUUUUCAAAUAAGCAAAAGGUGAUAGAAUGUGUCAUCCACAGACCUGCACUAUAAAAAAUGGUAGAGGAAGUUCUUCAGUAUGAAAGUGAAUGAUACCAGAUGGAAACUGAGAUCUACAAAAUGAAACAUCACUGGAAAUAGUAAAUACAUGGAGUUUCACCUGCCACCUGGAUCAUUUCCUAUUUUUCUGCAGCCACUUCAGGGCGGGGACCCAGUAUCACGAAGCUGCAAGGUAAAAAGGAUCAAACCUUAACUGCCUACAUGUGCUCACAGGAACAUAAGUGAGUGAGGCUCACCAGCAACCAGGAAGUGAGCUGAGCCUAACAUAUGGGAGAGAUCCUGUCUCAUCUGCAGGGAAGAGCUGCUAUAUAGGAAAGUAUCUGCUCAUUGCUGCCAUGUGGGAAUGCUGGUAUUGCUGGACUUUCUGAUGUUUUAGGAGAAACUGCUGAUCUGUGCAUGAAGUCUGAUAUAUAAAGAUGAUACUAUAUUUAUGUGUCUAUGGAUAAAUAAAUAAUGUCAACUGGUUCCAGAAAAAAAAAACAAAAACAAACAACAACAACAACAACAAAAAACCACUGUGUGGGCUAAACAAGCCUGCUGAUUAGAUUUGGCACAUUGACAGUGAGGUUAAGGUGCCUAAGUGCCUGAAAAACUUAUGUGUUUUUGUUUAUGAGAACAACUUCAGCAAAGUUUCAAGAUACAAAAUCAAUUUACAAAAAUCAGUAGCAUUUCUAUACAUCAACAACGUCUAAGAUGAGACCCAAAUCAAGAAUGAGGUCCCAUUCACAACAGUCACACACACAAAAUAUCUAGGAAUACAGCUAGCCAAGAAGGUGAAAGAUCUCUACAACAAGAUUAUAAAACACUGCUCAAAGAAAUCAGAGAUGACAUAAACAAAUGGAAAAAUAUUACAUGCUCAUAGAUAGUAAGAAUCAAUAUUGUUAAAAUGUCCAUAUUGCCCAAAGCAACUUAUAGAUUCAGUGCUAUUCCUAGCAAACUACCAGUGAUAUUUUUCACAGAAUUAGAAAAAAAAAAAAAACUAUUCAAAAAUCCUAUGGAACUUUUAGAGCCUGAAUAGUGAAAAAUAGGUUAAGCAAAAAGAACAAAACUGAAGGCAUCACGUUACCUGACUUUAAACCAUAUUACAGAGUUACAAUAACCAAAACAUCAUAGUACUGGUACAAAAACAGACACAUGGACCAAUGCAACAGAAUAGAGAGCCUAGAAAUAAAGCCACACACCUACAGUCAUCUGAUCUUUGACAACAUCUACAAAAACAAGCAAUGAGAAAAGACUUCCUGUUCAACAAAUGGUGCUGAGAUAACUGCCUAGCCAUAUGCAGAAGAUUGAAACUGGACCGCCCCCCCCACCCUUUUUUUUUUUUUUUUUUUUUUUUACCAUAUACAAAAACCAACUCAAGAUGGAUUAAAGACUUAAAUGUAAAACCUAAAACUAUAAAAAACCUAGAAGAAAUCCUAGGAAAAACUAUUAUGGACAUAGGUCCUGGCAAAGAUUUCAUGACAAAGAUGCCAAAAGCAAUUGCAACAAAAAGAAAAAUUGACACAUGGGACCUAAUUAAAUUAAUGAGCUUCUGUACAGCAAAAGAAACAAUCAACAGAGUGAAGAGACAACCUACAGAAUGGAAGAAAAUAUUUUCAAACUGCAUCUGACAAACUUCUAAUAUCUAGAAUCUAUAAGGAACUUAAACAAAAUAACAAGCAGAAAACAAACAAUCCCAUUAAAAAUUGGGCAAAGGACAUGAAUAGACACUUUUCAAAAGAAGACAUACACACAGUCAAUAAGCAUGAAAAAAUGCUCAACAUUACUAAUUAUUAAAGAAAUCCAAAUCAAAACCAAAUGAAAUUGGGCAAAGGGCAUGAACAGACACUUUUCAAAAGAAGACAUACACACAAGCCAAUAAGCAUGAAAAAAUGUUCAACAUCACUAAUUAUUAAAGAAAUCCAAAUCAAAACCAAAGAAAUUGGGCAAAGGACAUGAAUAGACACUUUUCAAAAGAAGACAUACACACAGCCAAUAAGCAUGAAAAAAUGCUGAACAUCACUAAUUAUUAAAGAAAUCCAAAUCAAAACCAAAAUGAAAUACCAUCACACUCCAAUCAGAAUGGCUAAUAUUAAAAGGUUAAAAAAUAACAGAUGCUGGUAAGGCUGUGGAGAAAAUAAAACACUUAUACACUGUUGGUGGGAAUGUAAGUUAGCUCAGCCAUUUUAGAAAACAGUUUGGCAAUUUCUCAAAUAACUUAAAAUAGAACUACCAUUUGACCCAGCAGUCCCAUUAUUGGGUAUAUACCCAAAGCAAUGUAAAUUUUCUACCAUAAAUUCACAUGCAUGCAUAUGUUCAUCACAGCACUAUUCACAAUAGCAGAAACAUGGAAUCAAAUGCUCUUCAACAGUAGACUGGAUGAAGAAAAUAUGGUACAUAUACACCAUGGAAUACUACACAGGUUUAAAAAGAACAAGACCAUGUCCUUUGCAGGGACAUGGAUGGAGCUGGAGGUCGUUACCCUAAGCAAACUAAUGCAGGAACAGAAUACUAAAUACUGCAUGUUCUCACUUACAAGUGAGAGCUAAACAUUGGGUACACAUGAACACAGAGAAGGAAACAACAGACUUUGGGACCUACUGGAAGGUAGAGGGCGGGACCAGGGUGAGGAUUGAAAAACUACCUAUUGAGUACUAUGUUUAACACCUGGGUGAUGAAAUAAUCUGUAUAACAAACCCCCAUGAUAUGCAAUUUACUUAUAUAAUAAACCUGCACAUGUUCACCUG